AGUUAGCCCCGAUUGAAGCGGUACCCUGCAGCAACGAGGUGCUAGGAAGCGAAGCGUACAAGCAAAAAGCGGGAAGAAAC
rnacentral:sRNA from 1 species